rnacentral:rRNA from 1 species
AUUGAACGCUGGCGGCAGGCCUAACACAUGCAAGUCGAACGAGCGGCGGACGGGUGGGUGAUGCCUGGGAAUUGCCCUGUCGAGGGGGAUAGCAGUUGGAAACGACUGCUAAGACCGCACACGAUUGGCUUGCCCAGGUGGGGUUAGCUAGUUGGUGAGGUAAUGGCUCACCAAGGCGACGAUCCCUAGCGGGUCAGAGAGGAUGAUCAGCCACACGGGAACGGAGACACGGUCCAGACUCGUACGGGAGGCAGCAGUGGGGAAUAUUGCACAAUGGGGGAAACCCGGAUGCAGCCAUGCCGCGUGUGUGAAGAAGGCCUUCGGGUUGUAAAGCACGUUCAGCGAGGAGGCGGUACUCGCAGAAGAAGCACCGGCUAACUCCGUGCCAGCAGCCGCGGUAAUAC